rnacentral:lncRNA from 1 species
CCCCCAGAAAAUCAAAUGAUUGCUGCCUAAAUGAGACACAAGGAUCACUAUCCAGCUGCAGCUUAAACUGUUUGUAUAAAGCUUGUGUAUUUCUGAAGGUAGAAGACAUUGAUUUAUAUUUUGUAUUGAGAUACCAUAUGUUACGAAGUUUAAGGCUGUCAUGGUUCAGUGACUGCAUGAAAAAAUUUACCUGUUUGCAAUGUGAAUUUCUCAAUUAUUAUGAGUAAACAGUUAACCUUGACCUCAUUUCAGUGAUCAAGUUUAAGUCUAAGUGAUUGGUGUCGUUUCUCAAAUACCAUAUGCAGUAGAUCAACUUAAUUUGGUGUAUGGACUGAUUGUAAUGGGAACAUAUAAGUCUGGCAGGUGUCAUCUCACCUUGACCUCAUUUUCAUGGUUCAUUCGCCAGUAACAAUUUUUUUGUGUUUUUGUCUUUUUUUCAAGUACUACAUUUGUAUAAGCAAUAGGUCGUCUAUAUGUGGUGUAUGGGAUGAUUGUUAUGUGGAAAAGUCUGUCUGACAGGUUACUAAAAAUAAGAAACAGGACAAAUAUUUACCAGAUAUCAAAUAAAGUAUGGUCUUAAACAAUGAUCUAAACCCAUACCACAUAUCAGCUAUAAAAGGCCCUGACAUGACACAAUGUAAAACAAUUAAAAAGAACACCAAUUACCAUCUUCACCAGCCAGCCCCCUGCUUUUCACCCUUGGCAAAUUAAGAUAGCAUUUGUGUAUACAGAGCUGUACCUUCAAGCAAAACAAAAAAAAGUUAGGCCCACUCCACCUACAUCAUUCUUGACCAAUGGCAGCACUUGAACUAUCUUCAGUGUAGAGGUGUUAUAAUACUUUAGUCCAAUGUUUACAAAUUUCUUGAAGGCAGAAACUGCAAAUAUAGGUUGACCUACCAAAAUUUGCAAAUUAAACCUACCCAAGAAUUUCAAUUAGUUGAAUUUAAUUCACUUAGUAUUGUCCUAUGUUUUGUUGGGAAAUCUCGUUGCAGAAGCUGCAUGCAGUAAUUGCUAAUUGACAUUUUCUACAUUCACAUUUAUUCAUCUUGAAGGCACCUUUUUAUUGGAUGUAGCCAGUUGAAACUGUGACCAAUGGAAAUCAUUAUCCUGUGGACCUGAAUAUUUGACUUAAUCUGCCAAGGUUGCAGAGAAGUGGGCCAGAACAUAACCAUUGGCUAGUAAAGAUUAUCUAUGGCCUGAUAUAUGUACAAUAGUUA